rnacentral:rRNA from 1 species
UACAGAGGUCUCAAGCGUUGUUCGGAUUCAUUGGGCGUAAAGGGUGCGUAGGUGGCGCCGUAAGUCAGAUGUGAAAUUUCGGAGCUUAACUCCGAAACUGCAUUUGAUACUGCGGUGCUUGAGGACUGGAGAGGAGACUGGAAUUUACGGUGUAGCGGUGAAAUGCGUAGAUGUCGUAAGGAAGACCAGUGGCGAAGGCGGGUCUCUGGACAGUUCCUGACGCUGAGGCACGAAGGUCAGGGGAGCAAACGGG